rnacentral:rRNA from 1 species
GAUCAUGGGCUCAGGAUGAACGCUAGCUACAGGCUUAACACAUGCAAGUCGAGGGGCAGCAUGGUCUUAGCUUGCUAAGGCCGAUGGCGACCGGCGCACGGGUGAGUAACACGUAUCCAACCUGCCGUCUACUCUUGGACAGCCUUCUGAAAGGAAGAUUAAUACAAGAUGGCAUCAUGAGUCCGCAUGUUCACAUGAUUAAAGGUAUUCCGGUAGACGAUGGGGA